rnacentral:tRNA from 1 species
AGGGGCGUGGCGGAAUUGGCAGACGCACCGGAUUUUGAUUCCGGCAAUUGGAGGUUCGAGUCCUCUCGCCCCUG